rnacentral:rRNA from 1 species
CGGUAAGAGCGGCGGACGGGUGAGUAACGCGUGGGUAACCUACCCUGUACACACGGAUAACAUACCGAAAGGUAUGCUAAUACGGGAUAAUAUAUUUGAGAGGCAUCUCUUGAAUAUCAAAGGUGAGCCAGUACAGGAUGGACCCGCGUCUGAUUAGCUAGUUGGUAAGGUAACGGCUAACCAAGGCGACGAUCAGUAGCCGACCUGAGAGGGUGAUCGGCCACAUUGGAACUGAGACACGGUCCAAACUCCUACGGGAGGCAGCAGUGGGGAAUAUUGCACAAUGGGCGAAAGCCUGAUGCUGCAACGCCGCGUGAGUGAUGAAGGCCUUCGGGUCGUAAAACUCUGUCCUCAAGGAAGAUAAUGACGGUACUUGAGGAGGAAGCCCCGGCUAACUACGUGCCAGCAGCCGCGGUAAUACGUAGGGGGCUAGCGUUAUCCGGAUUUACUGGGCGUAAAGGGUGCGUAGGCGGUCUUUCAAGUCAGGAGUGAAAGGCUACGGCUCAACCGUAGUAAGCUCUUGAAACUGGGAGACUUGAGUGCAGGAGAGGAGAGUGGAAUUCCUAGUGUAGCGGUGAAAUGCGUAGAUAUUAGGAGGAACACCAGUUGCGAAGGCGGCUCUCUGGACUGUAACUGACGCUGAGGCACGAAAGCGUGGGGAGCAAACAGGAUUAGAUACCCUGGUAGUC